rnacentral:rRNA from 1 species
AAGCAUAAACAUGCAAGUCGACGAGAGACCUUCGGGUCUCUAGUGGCGAACGGGUGAGUAACACGUAGGGAACCUGCCUGCGCACCGGGAAUACGCUCUGGAAACGGAGAACAAAUCCCGAUGUACAGGAAGGAGGCAUCUUCUUUCUGUGAAACAUCCUUUCGGGGAUGGGGCGCGGAUGGACCUGCGGUGCAUUAGUUUGUUGGCGGGGUAAAGGCCCACCAAGACGAUGAUGCAUAGCCGGCCUGAGAGGGCGGACGGCCACAUUGGGACUGAGACACGGCCCAGACUCCUGCGGGAGGCAGCAGUAGGGAAUUUUCGUCAAUGGGCGCAAGCCUGAACGAGCGAUGCCGCGUGAGUGAAGAAGGCCUUCGGGUCGUAAAGCUCUGUUGCGGGGGAAAAAAGGCAGCAUCAGGAAAUGGGUGCUGACUGAUGGUGCCCCGCCAGAAAGUCACGGCUAACUACGUGCCAGCAGCCGCGGUAAUACGUAGGUGGCGAGCGUUAUCCGGAAUGAUUGGGCGUAAAGGGUGCGCAGGCGGUCCUGCAAGUCUGGAGUGAAACGCAUGAGCUCAACUCAUGCAUGGCUUUGGAAACUGGAGGACUGGAGAGCAGGAGAGGGCGGUGGAACUCCAUGUGUAGCGGUAAAAUGCGUAGAUAUAUGGAAGAACACCAGUAAUCACUAGUGA